GCAGUAGCCGCGGUAAUACGGAGGGUGCAAGCGUUAAUCGGAAUUACUGGGCGUAAAGCGCACGCAGGCGGUUUGUUAAGUCAGAUGUGAAAUCCCCGAGCUUAACUUGGGAACUGCAUUUGAAACUGGCAAGCUAGAGUCUUGUAGAGGGGGGUAGAAUUCCAGGUGUAGCGGUGAAAUGCGUAGAGAUCUGGAGGAAUACCGGUGGCGAAGGCGGCCCCCUGGACAAAGACUGACGCUCAGGUGCGAAAGCGUGGGGAGCAAACAGGAUUAGAUACCCGCGUAGUCCCUGUCUCUUAUAC
rnacentral:rRNA from 1 species